GACGAACGCUGGCGGCGUGCUUAAUACAUGCAAGUCAACUGAACUUGAAGUAGCAAUAUUUCAAGGGAGGUGGCGCACGGGUGAGUAACACGUAGGUAAUCUGCCUUUAGGUCUGACAUAAUUCCGCGAAAGCGGGACUAACUUCAGAUGAUGCAGCGGCUCGACAUCGAGACAGUUGUUAAAUCUUCGGAGCCUAAAGAUGAGCCUGCGUCUGAUUAGGUAGUUGGCGGAGUAAAAGCCCACCAAGCCUGCGAUCAGUAGCUGGUCUGAGAGGAUGAUCAGCCACACUGGAACUGAGACACGGUCCAGACUCCUACGGGAGGCAGCAGUGGGGAAUUUUGGACAAUGGGGCAACCCUGAUCCAGCCAUGCCGCGUGAGUGAAGAAGG
rnacentral:rRNA from 1 species